ensembl:snRNA U6 U6 spliceosomal RNA
AUGCUUGCUUUGGUAGCACAUAUACUAAAGUUGGAACAGUGGAGAGAUUGGCAUGGCCUCUGUGCAAGAAAGACAUGCAAAUUUGUGAAGCAUUCCAUAUUUUU